rnacentral:rRNA from 1 species
UACGUAGGGGCAAGCGUUGUCCGGAAUCAUUGGGCGUAAAGAGCGUGUAGGCGGCUUGAUAAGUCCGGCUGUGAAAGUCCAAGGGCUCAACCCUGGAAUGCCGGUGGAAACUGUCAAGCUUGAGUCCGGAAGAGGCGAGUGGAAUUCCUGGUGGUAGCGGUGAAUGCGCAGAUAUCAGGAGGAACACCAAUGGCGAAGGCAGCUCGCUGGACGGUACUGACGCUGAGACGCGAAGCGUGGGGAG